rnacentral:rRNA from 1 species
CAGUCGCCGCGGGAAUACGGAGGGUGCAAGCGUUAAUCGGAAUUACUGGGCGUAAAGCGCGCGUAGGUGGUUUGUUAAGUUGGAUGUGAAAUCCCCGGGCUCAACCUGGGAACUGCAUUCAAAACUGACUGACUAGAGUAUGGUAGAGGGUGGUGGAAUUUCCUGUGUAGCGGUGAAAUGCGUAGAUAUAGGAAGGAACACCAGUGGCGAAGGCGACCACCUGGACUAAUACUGACACUGAGGUGCGAAAGCGUGGGGAGCAAACAGGAUUAGAGACCCCUGUAGUCCCUGUCUCUUAUAC